GACGAACGCUGGCGGCGUGCCUAAUACAUGCAAGUCGAACGCAGUGGGGACGGGUGCGUAACACGUGGGUAACCUCCCAUCAGAGGGGAUAACACUUGGAAACCGUUGCUAAACCGAUACUGAUUGAUGGACCCGCGGUGCAUUAGCUAGUUGGGGGGGUAACGGCUCACCAAGGCAACGAUGCCUAGCCGACCUGGGAGGGUGUGCGGCCAAACUGGGACUGAGACACGGCCCAGACUCCUACGGGAGGCAGCAGUAGGGAAUCUUCGGCAAUGGACGAAAGUCUGACCGAGCAACGCCGCGUGAGUGAAGAAGGUUUUCGGAUCGUAAAACUCUGUUGUUAGAGAAGCGGUAUCUAACCAGAAAGCCACGGCUAACUACGUGCCAGCAGCCGCGGUAAUUC
rnacentral:rRNA from 1 species